UCCUCAGCCACUUGCCCUGUUCGCCGUCUCUCCAGCUUGUUCUCCUGGCCGGCAAUCGAGCAGCAGACACGCUGCAAAGAGCUCCUUUUCUGCCGCCUCUCAGCUGAUCGGCGGGUGGGCGGGGCUUCCACGGAGGUCUGGUGUAGGCCUCUGUGAAGCCUGAACUCCAGUAGGGCCCAAGCCAGCCAGGAAGGAGGAGGCAGCCAGAGAGGCCUCCACUGUUCUCUGCAGCAGAAGACCCCCUGCUGCCAGGAGAAGUAGAAGGCUGCCAUCCCAAACAAGCAAUUGCAAACAAAGUGACAAGGGCAGAGUGGUGUUAAUUUAUUUUCAUCUUGAGUAAAUUGAUCGGAACUACCCAUAGGGUUGGACUUGUGAAUUGAUGAGGGCUUUCUUUCCUGCUACACAUUCAUUAUUGAACUACCUCUCAGAGCCAUAACUGCCAGCAGUUUCUAGUCCUGCCCUCAUGAGCAACAGAAAACAAUUUUGCUCCUCUUGUGUGCAACAGCCAUUAUGAUAACUGAAGACACCUCUUCUGCAAGCCAAGCAUACCCACCUCCUCCAGCUGUUCCACAUAGGACUUGUUUUCCAGACCCUUCAUCAUCGUGAUUGCCCUCCUCUGAACCUGUUCCAGUUUAUGAAUGUCCUCCUUAAAAUAUACUUCAAUGAUUUCUCAAAAUGCUGUAAAUAAGCUGGUAUAAAAGGAAGGAUGGAAGGAUGGAAGGAAGGAAGGAACGAAGGGAUACCCCAACACCAAGAUAUCUUGCAGUGACGUCAGGAUGGGCACACUCAUCUCAGCACAACUCCGUCCUGGUUGCAUGACAAAGCAGGAACUCCAGGGAUGCGGCAUACCUGUUGCCAAGCAGCAGCAGGAGGAGAAAGGAGAUGACAGAGAGUGGGGCGUCAGCUCUGAGAUGUGGCCCUAGGACUGACACAUUUCUGGCCUGCUCUGAGCUGACUUCUCAGUGGUAGCAGGAGGAGCAUCUGCACAAAACCCAGCUUACAGCGACAGCAGAAUUCGGAUGACACAACGCUGCCUUCUAACCUCAGGUUUCAGCAGUGAAACUCACUACAAACUGAAGGUUCAAAAUCAGGUUUGGCAGCAAAAAUGGAGCUGUGGUUGGGUGAUGAAACCACGUUAGCACACAUUUUGACUACCACAAACUCAACCCUCUGUCACAUUUAUCUCUGGUGUGGCAUUAUGUACUAACAAGGCCUUCGUAUUCAUGCUGAUGUUAAAAGCCCACGGACCCUGACAGAGGUGAAGUGUAGUGCCCCUCCUAAACUACCAGGUACUUUCAUUUUUAUGUAAUGAUUGAACAAGGAAAUGGUGUUGAGAUGUCUUUUUUCUUCAGACUGGUUAAUGAGACUCAGAUUGAUUAUUUCACAUUUAUUUAUGCAUUUUUAGCUUGGUGAAUAUUUUGCAGCUGUUAUCUGAGGGCUAAUUCACAGAUUCGCUGCCUCGUUUUCAUGUGGGGAGCCAUUUUGUAUGAAACAGCCCUCACAGGGAAAAAUGAAAAAUUACUGUGUCAGGGAAAAUGCUUGAAAACUAACAUUUCUCUUGAAGUGGUAACUCUUCAGGUUUUUCCCCAUGUGGGGGCUAUUUCACGCAAAUCACUCCCCACAUGAAAAUAAUGCACUGAAGUAACCAUGUGCAGAUUCUAUCACCUCAAAAAUAAACAUAUUAAUAGCUCCUCAUUCAUUUUUUCAAGAGCUGUGUGAGGUAAGGUUGGAGGCAGAAGACAGUAUUUCUUUCAGAGCGUUGGGAGUGAUGUGACAGACAAUAUAUGACAAAUUGCUUUGUGAGUUCAUUGGGUAGAAGCAUAUGACAGAGAUGAAAUAAAACUAAAAGUAAAUAAA